CUCUUAGGUCCUUUCUAAGAUUCUAUGGAAUCUAAUAAUGUAACAUCCAUCUUACAUUUAUUAGACUUAUGCUUUUUAACAGUCCCAACAAAUGGUUUUCAUAAUUACAUGUAACCACAGACACAUGUAAUUAUGUCUGUGUGGGGAGUACAGUUCUACCAAGGCUGCAUUUCUCCUGCUUGAUUCUCUAUCAGGACAGAACUGCCGUAUAGCACACGUAGAUGGAGCUGGACACCAACCAGUAACCAAGACGACAAGCCUGUACCCUGAAGCCUCUUCUCCUUUUAAUAUCUCUGCAUUGCACAGAGUCCUGAAAGGUUUUUAGAAGGUGGUGUGAGCCCCAUAAGAAAGGCGUUUCAUCACAUUUUCUGAUGUGAUGCUGUCGAAGUCCUCAGAGGUUUACAAGGCAGGCAGUUCUACAGCGUAGCAGCUAACAAGGAUAAAGAAUGAACACAGCCUAGAAGUGGAACCUGGGAAACAUGGGAUCUAGUUCCAGCUCUACUGCUGUGGAUUUAUUCAAGCUUCUUCACCUUUGUACUUCAUUCAUUUCUCCAUGACCCUCCAGAGUUUGCAUCCUCCUCGUAUUUGUGGGGAUUCUGAUGCUCUGUAUUUCACAGAGAGGUACCACAACGAUCACAUUAAACGACAUUUGCAGAAUCAUGCCUUCUACAAAACAA